CGGACGGGUGAGUAAUGUCUGGGAAACUGCCUGAUGGAGGGGGAUAACUACUGGAAACGGUAGCUAAUACCGCAUAAUGUCUACGGACCAAAGCGGGGGACCUCCGGGCCUCGCGCCAUCAGAUGAACCCAUAUGGGAUUAGCUAGUAGGUGAGGUAACGGCUCACCUAGGCGACGAUCCCUAGCUGGUCUGAGAGGGUGAUCGGCCACACUGGGACUGAGACACGGCCCAG
rnacentral:rRNA from 1 species